GUCUGAUUUGCAAGAAUUUUCGUGGUGGCGGAGGAAAAGUGGAGUCUGGGGGGUAAAGGAGAGCAGCGUGAGGGUGGCGCGGGUCACGCACCAUGGCGUUUAGCACUUUCAUUGCUGCGUGCGGUUUACAAGAUUUAAAAAAUCAUAGAAUCCAGCACGAACUCCACCCUUCAUAAUCGAGUUCACCGCCCCUGGAUGUAGCACCUCUUAUCUGGGAACCACACCAUUAUCUGAAGCAAUAAAAUGAGUUAAAUCCUGAUCUUUCUUUCCAAAAAGCACAGGAAGCCGACUUGUUUACUUGUGGUUUUCAAAGUAGAAGAAAAGCCGCAGCAGCUUGAUGAAGACGUCUAUAGUAUAGUUAACCUUUAACGAUUAUCUGUUGGGGAUUGAAACUAAAGAUUGAACAAUUGUGGCUUGAUGAUCUUCUCUGUCUUCAGAAUUGAGAACUACCCUGAGUCAGUGCGAACGAGAAAACUUUUCAUUGCCCUUUUAACCAAACUUGGCAUUACAACGAAAAAAUGAAAUAAAGCGAGGCUUUUUGUGUGCGUGAAGAGCAAAACUUGCUUCUACAAGAAAAAGUAAAUUUAGUUUCUUUAGAAGACACUAAUUAUACUCUUAACAUUUAAAACAAGCGCUUGAAAUGAAAACAUUCGCAUUUCCCCCUCAUUUCAAAACUUUUCUCUGGGGAAUAAUUAAUUCCUUUGCAGUAAGAGAGUGCAUGGACAUACUGUGUUCCUCUCUUGGUGUACUGAAUACAAAAACUGUGAGCAAGUAAAUAAUGCCCGAGGACAAUGGAUUGGAAGGAGUCUUCCAGCCUUUCUUAAAUAUACCUACCCAGUAAUCACUCUGCCACUGUGCAAGGGACAAAGAGCUCAAGGUCUAGAAGAUUGCCAUUCACCACCGUCUCAUGGUCAGAGGAGGUAUGUUACUGAGCACUAUU
rnacentral:lncRNA from 1 species